AAAAGGGAGGGAGAAAAAAGAGAGGAGAAGAAAAGAGAAAAAUAGGGAUUUUCAACCCUAAUCAUCAAGUUUGAGGCAAUUCGGAGACUCGAGAACGCAGUUUUGAUUUAUUGGGAACUAUGCUUGAAUUGUGAAUUUGAGAAACUGUUGGUGAUGACGAAGCUAGUAGCUCACGAGUUUGCUAGAGUUAAUCUAUUGGUUGAGGUGAGCCGCCGCUUUGUUCGUGGAGGCUACCAAAAGUGUCUUUAUCAUUUAUUUAUUAAUGCUUUUUUUUUUCUUUUGGGAUUUACAAACCCGAGUCUUUUGUAAUUCUCUUAGAGGCUCCAUGGUCUAGUGUGGGAUUUGGGCAUGAGCAUUUGGUUAAUAUUUUGAGACACUAAUUAUCCGUAAUUAAUUAUUAUAUUAUUUGAGUGCUUAUUUAAUUUGGUUAAUGCUGUAAAAUUAUGGUUAAGAUAUGAAAAUAUGGUUCGCCUGGCCGGUGGUGUGUGCUGGAUGCCAAUCACGUCUAGGGGGUAUUUUGGGACGUG